CGUCGAACGUAAGAUGACUGUAGGUGAAAGCUUACAUCUCUUCGGAGCAUUUUACGAGGUGCUGCAUGGUUGUCGUCAGCUCGUGCCGUGAGGUGCGGGUUAAGUCCCAUAACGAGCGCAACCCUACCCUUUAGUUGCCAUCAGGUAAUGCUGGGGACUCUAAAGGAACUGCCUACGCAAGUAGUGAGGAAGGCGGGGAUGACGUCAAAUCAGCACGGCCCUUACGUCCAGGGCUACACACGUGCUACAAUGGCCGAUACAGAGGGCAGCUACCUGGUGACAGGAUGCAAAUCUCCAAAGUCGGUCUCAGUUCGGAUCGGAGUCUGCAACCCGACUCCGUGAAGUUGGAUUCGCUAGUAAUCGCGCAUCAGCCAUGGCGCGGUGAAUACGUUCCCGGGCCUU
rnacentral:rRNA from 1 species